rnacentral:lncRNA from 1 species
ACAGGAUUUCACUCCCAUUUCUGCCACUGAUGUGUUGAUGGUUUCUCACCAAAGACUUUACGAUCUAUCUGAAGACGCUUGGUACCUCCUGUGCUCAUAUGUGUUCACCUCCGGGCGAUGAUGGCCAAGUUGGACACAGCUAAGGGUGCAGAAUAAAUCCCAAGCCCCAGCUCCAGUCAACUCAGGCAAAAGAAUCAUCGUUAGCGUGGGCUGUGAGUCACUUUCAAUGGCUGAGAAAAUAACAAAGCAGAAUCCUUUGGGCUCUCAUCUACCUACUCUUUGCGUUACAUCAUGGGUGAAAAACGAAGGAGCAUGGGUGACAUGAGAAAAGUGGGAGAGGCUACCAUCGUGGAUCUCCAAAUUUUGAUGCAAGGUCCUGCUGUGCCUGAAUCACAUCUAGGCCCACAGAGUCAGAGGUGGAACCUGUCACACUGCAGAGCUGUCAUGGUGUCCAGGGGUGUGGUAAGGAGAUUGUAAUAGCUUCAGGAUGAGAAGGACUUGGUACGGGCAGCUGGAAACUUGGCUCUGGAAUCUGCCUGGGAGGUGAGUGUGAGUGCUCAUCUCUGGUCCAAAAUUUUCAAGCAAAGACGUCUUCCAGAAAGGAGAGGCAGGUCUGUUGGAGUAAAACGUUCUGGGAAAAUGCAAGCUAAAUUUCUUACCUACUGGCAGAAAGAGGAUGAAAAGACCUCUGAGUCAGAGAUGAGAUUGCAGAGAUUUGUGGACAAAGCAGAAAGGAGGCAGAAAGCCUGGGAAAGCUUGUCCAAAGUCUCAGCAUGACACAGUCAGGAGUUUGCUGGAGACAUUCAGCAUUAACAAAUAACCUCAGGCUUCAAGAACUGCCUGAGGGCCUUCCAGAAUCUUCACCAUUAGUCUCGGUGGAGGAGGAGGAAGUAGAGGCCACAGAAAUUGUAAAGAAAGAAAGUAAUGCUGUAAGCUCAGGUCUUAGAGACUAAAAGAAAAAUGUCACAGAGAGAGUGGUUAGUAGCUGCGUCAAACAGGGCAAGGGUGGGAAGCUCUAAACCCACGUCCUAGGACAGGGAGCCAGGCCAACUCUUGGCUCCAUCCUCCCCUUUUUGGUUACUACUAUACGGAUUGGAUGGUGUUAAAAGCAAGCUGCGUAUAGCCUUUGGUGUUGGAGAAUAUGGGGUCAGUCUGAAAAUAGGUUAGGGUCACAGGUCGGAACAAGCUGGACCAGGCCUCAGUGAAGCUCAAAGCUCCCCCACAAUUCCUGUGCCCAACCACCUGCCUGGAGGGGCUUGAGGUGAGACAGGUGCAAAUCAAAGAGCAGAGACAUGGCUGGCCAUGCCAGAUGUUAGGUCCCAAGAUUCCGGUCCUUCCCAAGCAGCAUCUUGCCCAGGCCGUACUGCAGGACUCAACAGAGUUCAUUCUCUGACACAGGUUGAGGACAGGCUCCCCUGUGAGGUGCAUUGUGAUGAGCCAGGAAUUCCAGGUGUGGCAUGAAGGUGAGAGAAGUUGUGUCACACCCUGAUGGCCUGGCAACACGGCCCAGGUUGUUGGGGCAAAUUUGCAUCCAUUCCCGGGCCUAACCAUUAUUUCUGGCAAUAUGGUUGAAUCAAUAUCCAGCAACACCAUGGCUUUUGUCCUUGGCUACUCAUGCACAACUCCAGAGGGCCCAGGAGGCAGGGCUACACAAUUUCCAACUCAACUUGCUGAUGAGGAAGGCCUCAGGGAGCAGGGCCCAGGGGACCAGACUCCCACAGCUUCAAAGGGAGUAGUCUCAGCUAGCUCCAAGAUCGCAGAGCACUCUAGAGACCAAUCAUUUAAGGAACAAUAUUGAAGAACAUCCAAUUAAUGGCAUUAUAUGGGAAUAUCACUUUGGCUAAAGUGCACAGAAGUAGGAGGAGGUGAGGUUUGAAAGUUCAGUUGAUACCCACCUGCAGAGGGCCUUGCACACCAGGUUAAGAGGUGUGAUUUUUUUUCUUGGAAGCAAUGGGAAGCAAUGGGAUUUUGAAGCUAGGCAGGAGGCAGACAGAUUAGAGUCCAGAUCUGUGCUAGGAGCCACCUCUUGCUCCCCGAAAAUGGCCUCUCUUCCAGUCUUCCUUUAUGCCUCAAUUCUUGCCCCAGCCAGCUUUCCAGACCAGUGCUUGGCACAGAAAGGAUAGUAAAAAGAAUUUCCUGAACACAUGAAUGGACAGUGUGAUGUUUAUGAGACUCCAAAGGGAGGGAGGCUAAUGAGUGCGAAAUAUGACACAACAUUUACAACCACCAAUUAAAAAG